rnacentral:ncRNA from 1 species
UUCGAGUACAGGGAGUGGAGUCCGCUGUAUACUCGCGUCACCGAACGAAAGACUUACGCGGUAUGUAACGCCGCCGGCCGCGGG